rnacentral:lncRNA from 1 species
UUCUUCUAAGAAAGUUAUCUAAUGAUUUUGCAGACUGGCUCAAAACAGAAUUUGUCUUGAAAAUGGAGUUUCUGAAGAGAGUUAUUGCAAAGUUCCACAAACCAUUCCCCCAUAUUCAACACCAUCAAAUGGUUGCUCACCUCCUUCAUGCAGUAACGAUCAGAUUGCAAGCCCAAACUGUAAAUGUGCAUUUCCCUAUAGUGGAAAUCUAUCAUCCAGAGCUUUUAGUUUCUCAAACUAUAGUAACACAAGUUACUACAAGGAAAUCGAGCAGACUCUGAUAGAUGCUUUUCAGAAGCAAAACAUUCCGGUGGAUUCAGUUUCUCUUAGUAACCCUAUCAACGUUUCAUCUACCGAUAAUUUUCAGUUGACUCUUAAUGUCUUCCCAUCUCAGACCGAUCGUUUCAAUACAACCGGGGUUUCAACUGCUGCUUUUGUGCUUAGUAACCAACUUUACAAGCCUCCAGAAUUUUUCUCCCCUUACGUUUUCAUUGGUUUUACCUAUGGUUAUUAUUGAGGUGAUUUUUAGUGUUUCAUUGUGAACUACAAAUGCUUAAUUAUUUGUUUGUGCUAUCUUCUUUCUCUUCUCUGACUCUGUCAUUUUUAUGUCAUUUAGGAGAACCUAAAGAUCAAAGUCAUAAUAUAACGGGGACAAUUUUGUAUAACUAAUUAGUGUUGUGUCCAUGUUAAAAACACUUGAGUUGUUAAUUCGUGUUUCGUAACCUCAAGAUACAUAGUUCAAAUUCACAAUAAUAAAAUGAUCGUUAGUCUCGCAUUAAUAAAUAGUAAUAAAAAUUCCACCUUUGCAAUUAUUUCUACCAAAGUAUCGUUAAAAAAGCCCUUUGAUCAUAUAUUCACCUCACAUCUCCAACUACUUUAUUCUCAUUUAGACACUCUAUAAUUAAAACGCAAACUACAAGUAAAACCUAACAUUUAGGACCGUCCUUGCAUUGGUUAGAUUAUAUUAACACCAAAAGAAUGUGUGUACACUUACUGAUCUGAUUUAAUGGCGAUGCAUUUUGUGCUUUUGGACCUAGCCAUGUUACUUUUCUUUGAUAAAAAAUUAUGUUGCUUGACGAAAUGAGGAUAUAUACGAGACCACAAAUAUACAGUUACGAAGCAGGUAGACCACAAUACAAGUUACAAGAGAGCCACUACUCCAUCCGAAUUCCUUAUGCUGAUAUUUGUAUACCAGAUAACUUAUUUUCUCAAUUUUCUUGUUAUCCUUUUGUUAUUACAGUGAAAUCUUAACUGCCAAUUUUCUAUAGUUGAGUUUUGAUAUGAGAAAGGACGAAACCACUUCUUGAAGUGUGGAGGGAAAAAUGCAAGGGAUAUAAAAUCCAUAAAUUUCAUGACUUUAUUGGGUUCAUGAAAUUAAUCAUGCAAUUCAUACCAUUUGAACUUUUAACUUAGCAAGUGUAUCACAUUCUUGUGGUCUUAGACUGUUUGCAAAGCCGUGAUUAAUUUUUAUCAACCAUGGUUGCCAAUAUCUUUCAUGUUGCAAUGUAUCCAUGGUUUAUUAGGACAUCUUACCACAUACCUUCAUAUAUCCAACAAACUUGCUGAGCGUGGCCACAUGAUUUCAUUUCUUAUGCAAAGAAAUACUAUAUCCAAAUUGGAGCAUUUCAAUCUCCACCCAGAUCUCAUAUCAUUCAUUCCAAUCACCAUACCACACAUCGAUGGCCUCCCCCUUGGCUCUGAAACAACUGCAGACCUUCCUUUCUCAUGACUGCAAUGGACCUCACUGAGCCUAUCAUUGAAGAUACUCUAAGAAAACUUAGACCCCAUAUGGUCUUCUUUGAUUUCACAUAUUGGUUACCUGCAUUAGCAUGCCAGUUAGGCAUUAAGGCUUUGCAUUACUGCACAAUUAGCCCUGCCAUCUGAUAAGCCCCGGAAAAAAAAAAUCAAUGAGAAGUCAUUGACAGAAGAUGAUCAGAUUUACCCUCCACCAAGUUUUCCACCAUCAGCGAUCAGGCUACAACCUCAUGAAGCAAGAGGGUUAUCCCCUGCCACUUUGAAGGGUUAAGGCAAAGUCAUUUCAUUUGUCAAUUGAUAUCUUUCACCGGCUGUGAUGCUAUUUUUUUUCUAAACAUGCCGAGAAAUGGAAGGCCCUUUACUAUGAUUAUCUUGAAAGGCAUAUGAGAAAGCAGGUGUUUUUGGCAGGACCAGUUUUGCCAGAUCCACCAACCUCUAUUUAGAAGAAAAAUGGGUGACUUGGCCAAGAGGUUUCAAACUCAAAACAGUGAUUUUCUGUGCCUAUGGAAGUCAAUGCAUUUUAAAGAGUAAUCAAUUUAAGGAACUGUUAUUGGGUUUUGAACUUACAGGAAUGCCUUUCCUAGCUGCCUUGAAACCACCUAAAUGGAGGAAGUUCUUGCUCAGUCAUGGGCUAGAAAACUCAUGUGGAUGAUUUAGUGCAUAAGCUGGACAGUCUGCUCAAAUCUUGAUUCAUAAAGUAUUACGUAUGAUGAGAGAACGCAUAUUGAUGUUAUCACAUGAAUGAAUGUGACAUUUUACGUUUUUGGUUUGGUGUAUAAGCUGAAUGUUUCUGGGUAGUAUAGAAAAAUUAGAUUAUGUUGUUGGAUAUUCUAUUCUAUCGUGAACUAUAUAAUUGACAUGUAAAAUUUCAUUUCAUAUCUCCACUGUAGGACAUAUAGUGUUUUCACAUAAAAUAAACGAAUACAAAGGUUGAAAGAAGAGCUGUAGCACAAUCACAAUCUUUAAAUUCUUAAAAACACAUCAAGAGACCAAAUAAUGCAUACAGCAGAUAACUAAAUAAUCACACCGUAAGUGAUCAUUGAAUUGAAAGCAUUAAAUUGCUCCUUCAACAAAAAUACCAGUGUAUCCCGGUUCAUAACAUCAAAUAUUAUUUAUCCAUAAUUUCAGAAAGUGUUAACAAGAAUCCCAACUUCAAACAGUACUAUGAAUACUAACAAAAAUUAAACUGCUAAGCAUAUCAGUUAGUAUGAAUCAAAACAAAAAACAUAUCUGCAGUUUAACUAGACAUACCAAAUACAAGAAAUGAACAGAAACCACUUCAGAGCAUGACCAUUUUUGUUGAAUAUUUCCAAAAACUUGCAUGAAAUUAAAAAACAAACUUCCAUUUGAGGUAGGAAAAAUCAUUUUUUCUCAACAGCAUUUGCACUUGUACUGGCACUGGCACUAGCCUCUGGAUUUUCUAACCCGAAACGACGUUUGAACUUGGCAAUCUGUCCCAAACUCUCAGCCAUUUGACGCUUAGCACGAAAGUGAUAGACUUUACCAACAGGGUGAAUCUUUGUCAUCAUGACAUGCAACAACCGACCCGAUUGAGUAACAUAUGAUAUCCAUUGCUUCUGUGGGUGUACUCCUUUCUUCAUUUCCUACCAAUUUUAAACCCCAUUACCACACAAACAUUUCAUCAAACACUUGAGUAGGCAAAGCCAAAAAUAUGUAAAUUCACAUUAGAUUGAAAACCCAAAACUAAAAAACCCAGAUUUAUGAUUAACAGAAGAAAAAUUUGUAAACUUACUGGUAGCAAUGUAGGGUUCAGAGCAAAGAGAUUCAAUUCAACUACUGAGCUUCGAGGAAUCACGCUGCUUCUGAAGCUUUUCGUUCAGAUUAAACGGCGCCGUGUAACUCGUUUGGGCUUAUGUGGAUUAUUGACAUUUAUAUUUUCGAUUGCUAUUUGCACACCACUUGUUUUAAAAUAUUUUUUUUGAAAUAUACUUUCAGACUCCAAUAUUUGUUUCGGAUUAUGUAUGUAUUUUAAAAAUUAACUUUUAAAAUGUAAAAAUGUACCUUUUUUUUUUUAAUUUCAUUUAUACAAGUCUUCACUAAAAACAAAAUCUACUAUAAUUGUUUAUUGUGAAUAUAUAUUUGUAUUAAUAUUGUAACCAAAAAAAGAAUAAUUGUAUAAAUAUACUUGCAUGGUUACUACGCUAUUAGUAUCAACUUUUGUUGUUUUGAAAACGCAAACUUGAAUAGAAGGAACCUGAAUUUGAUUCGAAGAUCGUUUUAGUUCAUUGAAAAUGGGAAGAGGAAAAUUCAAGAGCAAGCCCACUGGUCGCCGCCAGUUUUCUACCCAGGAAGACAUUCGUAAGCCCUUCUCCAUUUUUUGCUUUCUGGCUUUUCUUUCUUUCAUGCUAAAUCAUUCACUUUUUGUUUCAAAAUUUCAUUUUUAGUUAAAUGUGAUGUUUUUCAAAAUUUGUUCUAGUAGUAUAGUAUAAUAGAAUAUUGUGCCUUGUGGAUGAAGGUUUUGAUAAACAAAAACUUGAUUUGCAGUUUAUAUAUAUUAUCAUAAGUGAAAAUAACCUAAAAUCAGUUUAUGAACAUGUCAUAAGCUGUUUUCAUAAGUUCUCUCAAACAAUCUCUUAAGUGCUUAUGUCAGUAGAGAAGCUCAAAUAAGCCAAUCCAAACAAACCCUAAAGUUAGGAGGCUGCCAGCUUGGAAAUUUCUGAAUUUUUUUUGUUUAAAUUUAGUUCAAAUUACUGUUCAUCUUGUGUGGAGUUGAUUUGUUGAGUUCUGUACCUUUUUUCUCUGUAGCUACAAAAGUUGAAAUAAAAGCGAGUUAGGCCCUUAGAGGAACAAGUGAAAUUAUAUAUAAUACUAUUACUUUUGUGGUGGAGUGGAAAAGCUUACUGCAAUAUUUUGAGAUUGUCAUUUUUCUGUAUAGAUGCAUGUGUCAUGUUCGUGGGUUUUGAGUAAAUAUAAGAAUAAUACUUAAACAUCUUGUUUUUGUGAUGCAACUUAUUAAGAGAUGUUAAUCAUUUCAAAAAUGAAUUAUAUUGUGAAGAAGUGGCUUGGAUGGUCCAAGUGGUACUGAGAAAUCAGACAGGGACUGGACAUCAGUUAUUUAACCAGUUCUAGGAAGUGACCGUUAGAGUUGUCGAUAACAUAUUGGGAAGAACAGUGGUCUACUACACUACAAUGGUAUAGUGCCGCUAUAGCCACUAUUUGACAUCACGUUAUACUACUAAUGUAUCGCGGAACAAUAGGGAUUUGUUCUAAUUCCGCUACGACAUAGUGUUAUACUACCACCACUAUAGCCGCUGACGACACUGGUGAUAGUAGAUCGAUCCUCUACACAUCUUAGUAGGUUUAGCAAAGGGAAAUGUGGGGAAAUUAUCACAUCUUAGUAUAAUGCAUGUUUUUUUUCAACCCUGUGAUUGAUUUUAUUAAGACUAUUUCAGUUCAGUGCCUCAAUGCUGAGGAAGUUACAUAUUGGCAAUUCAAUGUUUGUUGUUCUUAUUAAUGUAAGGGGAUUAAUUAAAUUAUAAUCCAAUUCUCUAAUUUCGAACUUAAAGGACGUAAUAUUUCUUAUUAAUGCCAUAACCCUUUUGGGCUCUUUUCUUCUCGUAAAGAAAACAAACAGAAUAGUGACAUUUCUUAAUCAUAGAAAGAACCACUGGAAACUUAUUGUUUCUUUUGACUGUUGCAGUUGCUGGAACCACUAGCCGUCCUCGAACUUUUAGACAGGUUUCCUUCUGCAUCCUUUCCUCUUCCCCCUUUUACUCCUCUCCUCAAACAUGCAUGUGAUCACUUACACACAGGAUGCUUUUGUUUACAUUAUCAUCUAUAGUGACAAUUAAUUUUUAUAUGGACAUAAUAAGUUGUUUUUCAUUUUCUUUACACGUUUAACUGUAUUUUACAUGGUCAUUCUCUUCACAACCUUAAUAGAAAGAAGCUGAGAAUGAAGAGGAGCCCGAGGAAGUAUCCGGGGAUGAAUCUGGAGAAGAGUCUGAUCAAGAAACUAAAGUUAGUAUCUCACAAUAUUUGCAUUUUUUGAGGAAAACAAAACUUUUUAUUUGUUUCUAUGGUCUGCUUCUAUCAAUAUGAAAUUGACUGUCUUGCUGCUACUUAAUUUAUACAGAAGAAAAAAGGAACUCAAGGGAUUAUUGAGAUUGAAAAUCCUAACUUGGUAAAGCCAAAGAACUUGAAAGCUAGAGAUGUUAAUGUGAGUUCAACUUGCCAUUUUUGGUCAUUACAUAGUCAUUUUCAUAGGAGUUUGGAAGAAUAAUGUUAUUUUCGUAUGGAUGCAGGUUGAAAAGACAACCGAACUUUCAAGGCGUGAAAGGUUUGCUACUUUUAGGUUGAUUCUUUAAAAGUGGUUUAACAAAUACAAUCAUGCUCUAAAAGAUGACAUUUUUUAUUUUUUCAAGUGGAAAAGAGCAGAACGUUUUUUCUCAUCUUAAUUCCUUCUGUUCUCAAAUUCCUUCUUGUUUGCAGAGAGGAGAUAGAGAAACAGAGAGCUCAUGAACGCUAUAUGAGGCUUCAAGAGCAAGGAAAAACAGAUCAAUCAAAGAAAGAUUUAGGUACUAAUUGUCUGUUUUAAUUUGCUUCUUCUACAUCUUUUUAUUUAUUUUUUCCCGUACGUUUGACAUUAUCACAUACAUAAACUAUUGAUUGAAUGGCACAAAGCAUAAGCUGCAUGAGUUAAACCAAAAUUAACAUGCUUUGCUUGGAAAAGUUUUCCUUCAAUUAUUAAUGUUUAAUUUCUUUGUUGAUGUUGUGCAGAACGAUUAGCUCUUAUACGUCAGCAAAGGGCAGAAGCUGCUAGAAAGCGAAAUGAAGAGAAAGCUGGUAAGUCUAAAAUACUGUUUGUGCUGCUUGUUCUAUUCAGACAUUCAAAAGCAUGAAACUGAUUUUUAAAUAAAUAUGUUUCAGCCAAAGAGCAGAAGAAGGCUGAAAUGGCUGAAACACGCAAGUGAAUGUUGUGUGGCCUAAUCUUACUCCAAUUAGUAGGAUGAAAAUAUAUACUUUCACUACUUAAAUAUUUUGUCCAUUAACUUUAUAAUGGAUCUUAUUGUGUUACCAUACCAAGUUGGUAAUAUGUAAUGCAAUUAUUCCACCAUAAUGUGGCUUGAAAUCUUAUUAAAUAAACACUUUUCUUCACAUCGAAGCUGGGAACAGUUGAUUGUUUUUUCUCUCCUGGAUACCCUCUAUUUAGCACUUCAAUUCUUUUAGGAAAGUAGGGGUAUUCUAAUUUCUAAAAUUGCAUUCCCAUAUUCUUUUUUCAGCACUAAUAGUUUUGGCCCUAUCGGGAUUUGGGAGUAGUAUAUCUGCCUAACUUUUCCAUGUGCUUGUUGCUAUUUGCUAUUUGCUGUUUUUACAAGUAGCUUCCCUAUGGUCAUUUUCUGCUUUUUCCCUCCUUGUGUAACCAGUGAUGAACACAUAAUAUUACAGGUCUUGCAUUGCAUUCUAAGUGUUUUUUUAAUGGUCAAUGUUAGUAAUUAAUUGUUAGAUUAGUUUUUUCUCCUUCAGCCGGGUUUGAACCUAGGACCUCUAACUCAUCCCUUAUCUCAAACCAGAUGAACCCCCCACAUUCUAAGUGUUUCUGAUUUACCUUACAAAAUGACAGCGAGAUAAAGUUGUCAAAUAUAAGAUGGAGGAAAAGUACAUGAAAUAAAUAAAUGUUAGGGUGGGAUGUGCUAUAGAAAAUUACAUCUCGAGUAAAUGAACAACUAUAGGAUUUGUAUUGUUGUAUGGAAUCAAAGAUGGAUGAUAAGCUAGCGACAAAGUAAAUCGAGUGUUGCUGAGAUUGUAAUGUUACAUACAUGGAAUGAAUGAUUAUACAAUAUGAGAUUAGAAAUAGAAUCAUAACUCAUAAGAACAUAUUAAGAUAUUUUUUGUUGUAGCAUGUGCAAAGAAUACAGGUGUAGAAGCAUCAGUAAGGAAAGUCGAUUACAUGAGAAUAGUUUAAAAGUUUGAUUACAUUGACAUCUGAACAGUCUCAUACCCUAAAACGUUUGUCUGAUAUAGUAUCCAACAUCUAAUCGAUGUUUUUAAUAUAAGCAGUCAUCAAAUGAUUGUAAAUCAACUUAAGGGGCAUCUAUCUAUAUAGGCCCUAAUCUAGUGCCUUGGUGGUUAAGGUAUAGAGUGCAUAAGCUGUGCUCAAGCUAUAACUAACACACUAUGGAUCCUAAACCUGCUCUCAAAGCCUUGAGUGAAAGUUUUCAGUGACAGUAAUCAUAUGCUUCAUGCCUUCACUUCACAAAGCGCAUGGAGUUGGAUCACUUCUUCAUGUGUGAAUUUGUCCAUGUUCCCCUCUUAGUUAACCAUGCCUCUAUCACCAAUCAAAUAUAUUCAUCUCAAAAACAAGCUCAAUGUGCUAAGAUAGCUAAUAGCUCUCUUCAUUUCCUCACCCACCUUGAACUUGUGGGGGUGUACAAACUACAAAAGUAUGCUUCUUAUGAUUUAGUUAUGUUAGAUGUUAGUUACUGCAAACUAUUGUAGCAGUCUAUGUAACUGCUUUGGUUAUUUUGGUUUUUCUCUUCUAUAUAUUUAGUGUCACAUAUAUUCUGUUUGCCAUGAUUCAGAUUAAUUAGGAUUAGAGAAAGCUGAUUUAACAUUUCCUCUAAGAAAAUUUUAACAUGAUCGAAACUGAAAUUCACUUAUUUUUUAUGGAUCAAACACAUAUUUAAUCCUUUUUUUAAAUAUCAAGUAUUAUUAAUCGUAUUAUGUAUCUUCAUUUCUGCUCAAACAAGCUGCAAAGAUCUUUUGUAACAAAAAAAAUAUACAUUGUAACCAAAAAAUGUAAAAAUUAAUUUUAAGAAAUUUCAUGAAAUGGUUCUUUCACAAAAAAAAAAAAAAAAAAAAAAAAAUCUAAAUGAUGUGUUUAAGAACGUGUCUAUUUAUCACAAAAGUAGUAUAUCUUUUAGACCAUUUCCAAUCAACACGGAAAGUGUCUGAUUGAUAUCUUAAUCGCAACUACACACACAAGUAGCCUUGUAAAGGUUUGGGAUUUUUCAGAAAUAUUAGUAGGUUUGACCUCAUCGUUUUGCCGUCAUUUUUUGAACAAGAAUUGGUACCACCACAAUCAGUGUCACACCCGCAAUCAAAGUUAAAAAAUGGCCACUUGGAUUAGUGUUCACAUAACAACUAAAGAUAUACAUCCAACCCUCUGAAGCCUCGAUACUUCAAAAUGGAUGACGUAUCGUAUUCCCUGCGUAUUCUGCACCGAUACCUGCUUGAUACUUCCCGAUACGUAUCAGGAGAGUAUGCAAAGAUUAAAUUUUAUUUUUUAAAAAACUAAUUAUCCGAUACUUCCCGAUACGUCCGAUAAUUAUCCUACACUGAUACCUGCCCCAAUACUUCCCAAUUAAUGUUAACUAAAAUAACUUAACUCUUGAGAAUAGUGCUUCUUUUUUGGAUCGAUAUAGUAUAACACUAACAAUGUUUCUUUUGGAUAUAGUAUAGCACUUAUGGGGCUCUUUUUGGGAUAUAUUAUGUAUGUAAUUGACUAAUCAUCACUCUCUUAGUCGUCAAUAUUAUUUAUAUUUAUGUUGAUGUGCUACGAACCUAUGACUGAUUUCUUUUGUUUGUUAAUAUAUUGGCUUAAUUACACUUUUGGUCCUUGCAUUUUGACCUACUCACGAAAUUGGUCAUACCUCUUUUAAAUCGAACAAAAUCGUCCCUAAACUAUAUGUUUUUUGCAGUUUUAGUCCUAUCUCCCUAUUUUCAACUCCAGAAACGCACAUAAAUGACAGUUUUAGUCCAACCACCUAUGUUCAACCAUGAAAUAAACAAGGAAUAAAUCAUGUGGGUACAAGGAAUCUAAUUUGUUUAGCACACAAACCAAGAAAAACCCCUAAUUUCUAAGACAUGUUUCAGGUAUGUAACAUGUCUCGGAAAUUAGGUUAGUGUUCUGAAUAAAGUAGAUUCCUUGUACCCACAUGUUUUAUUCUUUGUUUAUUUCAUGCUUGAGCAUAGGUGGUUGGACUAAAACUGUCAUUUCUGUGCGUUUCUGGAGUUGGAAAUAGGGAAAUAGAAUUAAAACUGCAAAAAACAUAUAGUUUAAGGACGAUUUUGUUCGAUUUAAAAAAGAUAUGACCAUUAUCGUGAGUUGGUCAAAAUGAUAGGACCAAAAGUGUAAUUAAGCCUAAUAUAUUUGCAUAUUUAAAAAAUAGUUAUAAUUAUAUUGUACAUUUAAUUAUAUAUAUUUUUUAUUAACGUAUCCCAGCCGUAUCGUAUCUUGAUUUUUAAAUUUUUUUCGUAUCGAUGCAGUAUCGUAUCCGUAUCGUAUCUCGUAUCCGGGCCUCAGAGAUCCAACUUGUUGCACCUUUGUGGCUUUCGUUUUCUUUUAGUAUAGUACAAUGUCUUUGUCCACAUAGCCAUCCAAUAAGGACAUUACAGAAAGUCAAUGUAACCAUUUUCUUUCGUCAAGUACCAACUUUGUUGUUAUUGGUAGAUUUUAAUGUACUACUAUAGUUUAAUUAAAUAUGCAAUACAAGACAUUUUCUUAUUUUGGACCACAAAAUUGUAUUCAUUCAACAAAAUGAGUAAAUAAUCAAUUUCCUCUUUGAAAUUGUAAGUUUCAUCAAUUACCCCCUUGAAAUUAACAAAAUUUCAAUUACCCCCCUGAAAUUUCACAACGUUAGUCAAUUUACCCCCUCCAUCAAAUUUUUAUGUUAGUGAACAUGACGUUUUGCAAAUACCUCCCCUGAAGUUUUGCACUUAUGUGCAAAAUGCCCCCCAAACUUAAAAAUUUAUAUUAUUUUUUUCUUAAAAACAAACAAUUAAUAGUUAAAUAUUAAAACUAACUAUUAAUUUUGGAAUUUGGGAAAACUACAUGCAUAUAUACAUCAAAAUAGGCUCCAAAAUGGGGAAAAUAUGUAUUUUUUAAAGUGACAAUAAUGGGAUGAUUUGUGGAUCAAUAUUGGGGGUUUGUGUAGUUUAAAUGGUUUGAGCAAAUUGUUGAAGGAGUUGGAGGAGUUAAAACACUAAGAUGGUGAAGGAGAAAAUAUAAAUUUAAAUCUGAUUAUUAAUUUGUUUAUAAACCUCUAAAAAUAAUAAUUUGUCUAUUAGAAAUAACCAUUAAUUGUCACUUUAAAAAUACACAUUUUUCCCUAUUUUGAUGUAUAUAUGUAUGUAGUUUUUCCAAACUCCAAAAUUAAUAGUUAGCUUUAAUAUUUAACUAUUAAUUGUUUGUUUUUAAGAAAAAAAUAAUAUAAAUUUUUAAAUUUGGGGGGCAUUUUGCACAUAAGUGCAAAAUUUCAGGGGGUAUUUGCAAAACGUCAUGUUCACUAACAGAAAAAUUUGACGGAGAGGGUAAAUUAACUAACGUUGUGAAAUUUCAGGGGGAUAAUUGAAGUUUUGUUAAUUUCAGAGGGGUAAUUGAUGAAACUUACAAUUUCAUGGGAGAAAUUGACUAUUUACUCAAAUAAAAAUAGUAGAAGUAGAGAGAAAUGAACUCCUAAAACAUAUAAAUUUUACACCACACCAAUAAUAGAAGGUAACAUAUUUCAACGUCCAAAGUGGACGUCAAUGCAUGCGCUUUUGUUUUUCUUUCUUUGUUUCUUUUUCUAUGUAUUUCAAAAUAUGUGUACGGUGUAUAAAUAAAAAGGAUAGAAAGAUAGAGAUUAAAGUAUACGGUGUCAUACAUCGUGUCCCAAUCAUUAUAUUUAAAUAACACUAAUCUAAUGUUUGAUAUAUGAGUCAAAUAUUUGCUCAAAAAAAAAAAAGAUAUAUGAGUCAAAUAUUUCAAGGCAAACAUUAGUUCUACAAACAAAAACUAUGUGUCCUACAUAAAUUAAUCUUCUCUCAUUAAGCCUUUGAGUUCUUCUAAUCUGUCAUCGACUUAGAAGAACAUGUAUAAGCCUAAAUCACAUGUUUGUCGAUUUUGACUAGCAUGUACUUUAUUUUUAGGUGUAAUAAAAUAGUGUGUGAAAUUGCAAAUUAAUUGCAAACCAAGUCUGUCCUCUAUUGAUAUCCGACUAAAAUGUAUUAAAUUAGUAACGUCAAAGAUGUAUUUCAAGUUUCAACUCAAGUGAUAUUAGUGAUGCAUUUGAUAAAAGAUGAUUUAGACAUGAAGACAAAUCUGAUAUAUUUUGCAAUUUUAGAUCAUCAUUAGAGAAUUGUGAUAAUGUAAAGUACAAUUAUGUUGUUAUGAACUUAUGACCCUACAAUUUCAAGAUUAUGUUGUUAUGACCCUACAAUUUCAAGAACUAAUAAAUUGAACAUUUACUCAUAAUACACUAAAGAAGUCAUAAUCCUUAGCAACGUGAGUGUUCUUAAGGAUUAUAUAAUCUCUUCCCCCUCUACUUGGAGUACUCAUCCCACAUCUUUCUUCAAAACAUUGAAGCAUCGGACAGGUUGAUAACAAAUGGGGUGUAGGAGCUAUAAUUAGAGACUCGUAAGGUUUUGUCGUGAUACUAAUAUUGUUGAAGCUCUUGAAUUUCGAUUGGCAAUUCAAUUUGCUCACGAUAUGAGUUUUCGCAAUAUUGUGGUGGAGGGUGGUUCAACCUGGUCUAUGAUUUUGAAGUUGUAUAUUGAUGAUAAUUCUUAUUUAGGCUUAGUGACUAAAUGAUUGUGAAAGCCCUAAUUUUUUUUUUUGGGGACAAAAAGGAGCCCUAGUUGUUGUUUUCUUCAUUUUUAGUGUCUCGUGUGAGAAGAGCUGAUAAUAUAGUUACUCAUUCUCUAACUAUGUUUGCUUUAGUUUCAUUUAAUUAUGUUUGAAUCAAGAAAAUCCAUCUUUAGAUGCAGCCGAUUUGGUUCACGUUUAAAUGUAAAAAUAAAUAAAUUGCGAUCCUUUGCUUAUAGAAAAAGGGAAUUCAUUGUUUCUUUGUGUUUUGUCUUGUACAAUUUAUGUCUUGUUUCUUUGCGUUUUGUCUUGUACAAAACUUGAUGUCUCAUUGGCAUCUACUUCGGUUGCCGCUCCAACUUUUUCUAAUGCAAAAGCCUGUCUAAACAACUAUGCAAUUGUUGAAGCUUUGAAUUUCACAAAUUAAUUCCAACUCUUUUUUCUUAAUUAGGUGCAUUCCUCGUUGACAGUUGUGCAUAAUAGGAACAUUUGAUACCAACUAACUUAUUCGUAAUUUUUGACACCAACUUAUUGUACGUAUUAGGAAUAGGAUAUAUAUGUACGAGGUUGAUGAUGAUGUUAAUAAUAAGAAUUGAGUUUAAUUUAUAUAUACGGUGUCAAUGUAUAAAAAUUCUAUACAUAUAUUCUAAUUAAUAAGGUACGAUGGAUAUGCGUUUUGAAUUUAUUAAAGGAUGUGACAACACAUUAUUUGAUUCAUGUGUACGACUUUUAUAUAUUGAUAAUAUAUAAUAUAAUCAUUGUUUAAUUACUUUAUUAUCACCAUGAUCAUUUGGGACGGCAAGCUACGUGGUCAAUUGUCCAAUUGUACAUUAUUUUAUUUUGUCGUAUGGUACAAAGAGGACAAGAAAAUUUUAUAUUCCAUCCUAGAAAAUGAGAGUGAAAUUAAUGUCUCUUGUUAAUUUCACCAUGUGUGAAAAUAUCUCUUUGUAAUACCGAAAAGGGUACUAUAUGCUGAUGCAAACUAAAACAAAUCAUUGUUUAAGUAGUCGUUGAUUGCUUCCAAGUUCCAACACUUAAAAAGUCUUUUAUCUUAUAGCUUUUUUCUUUUGAAUGUUUUAUAAAAUGUAUGAGGGAAGAAAUCAGAAUUAAAAAUGUUAAGAGCCAUUUCUAGUUGGAAUAUAUAAAUUAUCAUUGAUAUUGAAUGAUUAUGUUAGUGGACAUAUAGUUGCAAUAUUUUUUUAUUUUUUGAGUUAAUACCCAUUCUAAUUCUAAUAGUUGAAAAUUGAUUGUAAAAGGCAUUGACUUAGUAAAAUGCAUUAGUUAUAGCAUACCAUAUCUUAAACGCGUCUGCUCUAAAAUUUUCAGUUUAUUUAGUUUUUUUAUUUUUUCUUGAAAAGGUUGCUCUGUUUCUUUCCUUGUUAAAAGAUUAUACACUAUGCAUGGUUUCUCUUUAACAAUUCAAUUCAAUAUUUGAAAAGUCUUUUGAUUCUUGUUUUAAUUCAAUAUCAAUUCAAUACACUUUGAGUCUUGAUUCAAUUCAAUAUCAGAACAAGUGUUUUGUGUAAUGGAAGAACAACAUAAAGUGUUUCCUCUUCUUCUGCUGCUUCUUUUCCAAGUUUUGCAUGUUGCAUCACAGACAGACCGUGGAGAUUGUAAGUUGUUACUAAGUUCAAUUCAACUUUUGUCAUGUUUUCUGUGUUUGGAGAUUGAUAUAUUCAUCACAUUUAUUGUUUAUAUCUUAUCAUAUCUCAACAAUAAAGAAAGGAAAUAUUGUGCUUUUCCAGCCCCUGUACUUCUUAGUAUAGUAGUCGGACGAUAUCUAGGAUGGAGAAGUGUCUCAUAUGAUCUACGGGGGACCAAAGUUGAUGAUACUUUUAUUCCUCCUCGUGACAGAGAAGGUGAUCCAAUUAAUGUUUUAAUCGGCGCCAGUUCAGCAAAAAACAAGAAAAAUAAAUAUUAGCGCCUCAAAACUCAACUCAGUUUAUGUUCAUUUUCUACGGAUAAAGUCCGUGUCUCAAUCUUAAGACGUGGAGGACCUUCAACUUCUACUUAUAAAACGUGGAGGCGUUGAUUGUCAUCGGAAUUUUGAGCGAUUUUCUAGCAUCAGUCCAUCAUAGAUCACAUGAGACACUCUUGCACCCUAAGUUUGGGAAGUCUUUGUGGAUUGAAGAUAUAUUCUGCCAUUAAAAUUCAAAAAUAGAACUUUGUUUGCUAGCAAAGUUUUAGAAGUUAAUUUAUUUAUAUCAUUGACUAUGUACAGACCUAUAGUUUUUAUACUAGAAUCUUCUAUGUUGCUAAUAAUGUUCAUUAGGAAAUGCUUAGGGGUGAGAGAAAUGGAUUGUUAGUUUGUUUAUUGUGUUUCGCGCAGCACUUCAUUAGGCGGUUUGACAUGGCUGAAUUAAUCAUUAAAAAGUUAAAAGCAGGUUUUACUAAAAUAGAUGAACAUCAUCUCUUGUAAUAGGUUUUGUUUUUGUUACUUACAUAUUUAUUUUCUUGAAAUAUCAUCAUGAAUCGAGAGUUUAGUCUCUUUAUGACAAAAAAAGUUUCCUAAUAGAAGUUGUUAUUCUGCAGUUACUGCUCUUUCUUCUCUCACACAAUCCUGGAACAACAGACCAUCAAAUUGGGUGGGGUCUGAUCCUUGUGGCAGUAAUUGGGCUGGAAUUGGUUGUGACAAUUCAAGAAUUACCGAAUUGUUAGAUCUUCGUUCUAUUCAAAUUUGUUUCUUACUUUCUAUUUUUGUUUUUGUAAAAAAAUGAAUGAAUAUGAAAAGAGUGUUAUUUUUUUCUUCAGGAAACUACUUGGCUUGAGUUUGGAGGGUCAGCUAUCUUCAGCAAUCCAAUCCUUAUCUGAACUUGAAACAUUGUACAUUUUCUGCUUCUCGUUUGAAUUAAUGUGUCCAUGUUAGGCUGAAAUUCUUCUUCUAACCCUAACAUGUUUAAAUGUUUCUCAACUGAAUAUUUGUUAAAAAAGAUUUUAAAAUGAAUAAAUGUAUGUACAAGGUUUUUAAAAAAUGUAUGCGACAAUGUUCAGUUGUAGCUAAAUCAUUUCCUUUAACUGGAUUCAUCCUUAGGUAGGACAUUUUAUUUUCAUUACUGGUCUAAUAAACAUGUUGUUUUUGUUCAUACAGGGAUCUUUCAUCCAACACGGGCAUGACAGGAACAAUUCCACGUGAAAUUGGGAAUUUGAAAAACCUCAAUUCCCUGUAAGUAAGGAAAUUUAUUUCCUAAUAAUAAUAAAUAAAUUUUAAAACAAACUGAAUUUCUUUAGUGCAUUACUGCUAUCUAAAGUUUAGCAUGCUUUUUGAUAUGUUUUCUUGUAACUCGUUUUCCAGGGCAUUGGUUGGUUGUGGUUUCUCUGGCCCUAUUCCAGAUUCAAUAGGAUCAUUAAAGAAGCUGACCUUUUUGUAAGGAUUCCAUCUUACUAAUAAUUCUGAUUCUACAUUGCAAACAUCCCGAUGUUAUCAUACUUAAUCUUGAAGCUCAAUGUUUUAUUUUUAUCAUUCAAAUAACACAUGAUAGAGUAUUUUAUUUUUAUCUUUGGACUAAUAUAUAAUAUAUGAUAUAUUAAGCAAGCAUUUUCUAAAGUUCAUUUACAGCAUAACACAUAGAUGAUUAAGAAUCACUUGUUAAAUUAUUGCUUUUGACACAGAGCACUGAAUUCGAAUAAUUUCACUGGAAAUAUUCCGCACUCUCUUGGCAAUCUAUCCAACCUUGAUUGGUUAGAUCUUGAUCAAAACCAGCUGGAAGGGCCUAUUCCUGUCUCUAAUGAUCAAGGGCAACCAGGUCUUGACAUGCUCCUGAAGGCCCAGCACUUGUAUGUCUACUCCCAUUUUCAAUUUCUAUACUAACAUUUCAUUGAAUGAUCUAAUACUAUGUCUACUUGUUUGCAGUCAUUUUGGGAACAAUAAACUCUCAGGUCCAAUACCACAGAAACUUUUUAACUCCAGCAUGAAACUAAAACAUGUGUAAGUUUCAUAAAUCUUGGACUAUUUCUUUUCUGAAGUUAAGAGACCUGUUCUCGUCUCACAAAGUCAAACAGACUAAGUUUCCUAAAAACGUCUAACCUUACUUAUAAAGUGACUUGUAGCAAUUUAAAAAGUUUUUUCAUAAGAAUAUAUGAUGAAAAAAAAUAUUAGAAGAAUCUCAUCAUUACUAUGAGCUUUUUAAACAUUAGCUACUCGUAUAAGUUGAAAUUAGCGUCUGUAUGUCUACUUUUUCAAAACAUUCUAUUUAACUUUUUCAUAAACCCUAUAAACUUAUAAGGACUGUUUCAUAAAUGAAACCAUUGAAUUAUUUUUAUAGACUUCCUUUUAAUCCUCCCUUAUAUUAUUUUUGGCAGGCUUUUCGACCACAAUCAACUAACAGGCAGUAUUCCUAGCACCCUAAGUAGCCUUGGGAGCACAGUGGAAGUUGUGUAAGUAUAUGGUGGCUAGUGGCAAAGUGAAUUUAUGAAUUUCAAUGGCUGAACUGAAUAUUUUCUCUUGUAUACAGGCGCUUUGACAAGAAUCAAUUAAGCGGGAGAGUGCCUUCCAGCUUGAACAAUCUCAAAAAACUUACCGAGAUGUAAGAGAAUCAAAGAAAUGUGACUUGUUAAGCUUCAUAUUUAUCACUAACUGUUUCCAUAAAGAAUCAGUUUUACUGAAAGAAGGCAUUGAAUAUGUUUUUGCAGAUCUUUAUCUCACAAUGAACUGAAUGGCUCUCUGCCGGAUUUUACUGGAAUGAAUAGUCUCAUUUCUGUGUAAGUAGAAUGAUAGGCAUAUUUUGCGAUACUUUAUUUAUUGCAUUGAGAUUAUAGGAGAUCAAAUACUCAAUUACAAUCAUAUAAUCUAGUUACAAUGAUUUUAAUUUGCAUGUUUUUAUGACGUAACUAUCUGCAGGGAUCUGAGCGACAAUAACUUUGAUUCUUCUCUUGUUCCUUCAUGGGUUUUUAAUUCUAGUCUGCCAAAUCUGAACACAGUGUAUGUUGCUCCAUCUUUCUCACAUUAGACCUGUUUCUAUUUACCUUUUUGUUAUCUUUAAAUAAGUUUUGUUUUUUCAUUUCAAGAAAUCAAGUACUAUAUGUAUAAGAGCUUAAAAAAAAUUGGGUUCGUCUUGCUAUUUUGAUAAGUAUUGAACCACAAGUUUAAGUUCUAAUUAUAUCAAAUAUCUAGAAGAUAUACUACAUCAAAAAUGCAGAAUAGCAAUGCACUAUGAACACUCUUUUUAAGACACCUUCAUUAUCAAGAAAAAUCCAUGAAAAUUCUAUUAAGAAAGUAUUUGGAAAACUUAAAUAGAGCUCAUUUAAAUUUAUCUUAUCGUAUAUGCAGUUAAGUAGUUUUAUAUUUUGAACUUAUUUUGAUGAAAAUCUGGUUAUGCAUAAAGAAAACCUCUCAUUCUAUACUGUUUUUUUAAGACCUCUCAUUAUAUACUAACUCUUUAAAUAAUCUUAAACAAGAAGAAAUACCGGCAAAAUAUUAUGAGAUACAGAAUAAACGAUGGUUAUGAAUGUAAUGUGAAUUUACUGAAAUGUGCUAACAGAAUACUGAAGGACAACAAGCUUAGUGGCACAUUAAAUCUCAGCAGUGGCUACCGAAGUAGUCUGCAACUCAUUGAUUUGCAGAAUAAUGGUAUUACCGACCUCGUGAUGGGAAACCAAAAGUUGAAUUUUGACUUGAGGUAAGCUUCAUUAUAUAUGAUAUCAUUUAUUUCUACAGGUAUUUGCAUGGACUCAAACGACUGGAAACUAGAUUUUCUUCUAAGAAAGUUAUCUAAUGAUUUUGCAGACUGGGUCAAAACAGAAUUUGUCUUGAAAAUGGAGUUUCUGAAGAGAGUUAUUGCAAAGUCCCACAAACCAUUCCCCCAUAUUCAACACCAUCAAAUGGUUGCUCACCUCCUUCAUGCAGUAACGAUCAGAUCGCCAGCCCAAACUGUAAAUGUGCAUUUCCCUAUAGUGGAAAUCUAACAUCCAGAGCUUCUAGUUUCUCAAAUUUUAGUGACACAAGUUACUACAAGGAAAUUGAACAGACUAUGAUGGAUUUUU